GGUCGUUUGCCCGUUUACACUGCAGAACACAUACAGGUCGCAUUUACUGGCAGUGUGAACGGCCCAGGUAAAAAUAAUCGGAAGUGCCAAAAAAAUCGGAAUUGAGUCACUUCAGGCUGCAGUGUGAACGCACCCUUAUUGUAUAACUUUUAACGAGGAAAGAUGGCGGCGAUGGAUUGCAGCCGUCAAUCAUAAUGACUGUCAGCCGGUGUAAUCUCGGAUUUACAGGAAAUACAAGGAGCUUUUUGAGCCUCAGAUGCUUCAGCGUUUCGCCGCCUGGGUGACGGCCAGGAUUGACGCGUUGCCACAGUGAGAGCGUUUUAUGCUCCGGGAUCAAUAGCUGUUACCCAGGCAAAGCCCACAACCACUAAUGAAUCCUCUGGCUCUGUUUGCAGCAAACCGCUCUCCUCAUGUCUGCACAAGGCCGAGGAGGGAGAAAUAAAACCUGAAUACAGAAAUUAAAGUAGAUAAACGUUUUGUGUCACGUGAA